UCUCCAGCUCCUCAUAUUCCUUGAGGUCUUGAUAAUGAAAGACUCCUGUCCAGACUAAAUGUAGCUCAUGUUGACAGGGACAGCAAAUACACAUGGUAGCUUUCAUGGUUCCCUGUGAAAUCUUUUGACUUUUUUCAUGCCCUUUCCAUAGGGCAAGCUGUUAAACAACAUAUGAUUUCUGUUACCUGUGUUGAGAUUUCAGCAGUAGGAUUACAAAAGAUAUGCAGGUCUUUAGAAAAAAAAACAUUCAGAAAAUGGUGUUUGAAUGCUCUUUGGACUCUCUUUAGGCUUCAAAGGAACUGCAACACUUUCUCCUUAACCUCAGUAAUUGCUGCUUAACCAAAGAAAAAGAAAAAAAAAAAAAGCAGAUUUUAAAAAGAAAUCGUGCAAUCUAGAAACAUACUUUCCAUCUGUGUAUUGCGGCUGAAAUCCAAAAUAGGCCAGCUGGUCAUAGCACAGCUCACAUAUUCACAGUAUCUAUCCUCUGAAUAAGUCAUUUCAUCAUAAACAGUGGAAAGCAAAAAGUGGAGCCUUAGCUUCUCUGAUUUUCUCCCUGUAUUUGACACUCAAAGGACUGGCAGAGAUUUUAAAGAGGUAUUUGAAGCAGAUAUGGCCUUAUUUACAAUAGAUCCAGAUUUCACAUAUGACAAAUGAAAGUGGUUUGGGACUGAGGGGUUUGAGUGCCAAAUAAAGGUAAUGCACAAGUAUGAAUGUUUGCUAUUUCCCACUGUGGAAAGAAGAUGACUACAUUUGCAGUGCUGGAGGUUCAGAUGGGAAUGGCAGAGAACGUAUGAUAGGAAGAAGCAAAGAUGUAUUAUCAACGUUAUGUUGCAAAAAGAAAGCAUGCAAAUCAAGGAAAAGUAAAAAUGAGAUAUUCUGAGAAGACCUGAAAUUAGCAGAGUUGAAAUUAAAUUAAUCCCUUUGAACCAACGAGCUUUCUGCCUUCCAAAUUUGCUCCUAUCUAUCUCUGGUUCUAUACUGUGACAAUGGAGAAUUUCAGUGACCUGUGUUGCACCUAAAGGAUAUGCAACUCUGGAAAAGUAUGUGUGGACUUGUUAAGACUCAGCAGUAGACUUGCUUUGCCUGGAUAAAACUACUCCAGGGUUACAGGGAAGGAAGAAGGAGUUAUUGUUAGGCGUCGCACUAAUAUUCAAUUUAUUUCUCUUAGGGAAGACAUUGUACUGUCAUAACAGAGUAAUUACUGUAAAUUGAAGAAGCUGAUUAAAAAUUCCCAAAAGUUUUGGCACAAACAUUGACACAAAAUAAACUCCCUGAAACUUACAGCAAAGACUAUUCAAAGGUACCAGUGGAGAAAUUAUAGAAAGUACAAGUUUAAAAAUAAAGCACCAAGGUAACCUAGCGAUUUACUGUGAUUUAAAACAGCAAGGGAGUCAGACUUAUUCUAGAAAAUAGAUACCCAAUCUGAAAACCUUCUGUAAGAAUGAGCUCAAUGAUAGGCCAAUGAAAACAGAACUGAAAAAGAAUAAAGGAGAACCAGGUGCACUAAACUCAGACAUAAAUACAUAUACAGUUUAUUUAGUUAUACCUGACACAAGGUGUAUAUUAGCAUUUACCUAAAAGCACAGUGUAGAGAAAUUAUGGGAAAAGAAGAUCACUCAUUUUCUUUAUCUUCAUGAAAAUAUUUGGAGGCAUGUAUUAGACAUAGUUCAUUCAGUUAUUUGAGGAGACAGACUGCUGGGAGAUUAAGCUAAAUCUAAAUUAAGAACAAAAGGGCUUUUUUUGUU